rnacentral:rRNA from 1 species
UAGUCCACGCCGUAAACGAUGGACACUAGUUGUUGGACUUAUUCAGUGACUAAGCGAAAGUGAUAAGUGUCCCACCUGGGGAGUACGAUCGCAAGAUUGAAACUCAAAGGAAUUGACGGGGGCCCGCACAAGCGGUGGAGCAUGUGGUUUAAUUCGAUGAUACGCGAGGAACCUUACCAGGGCUUAAAUGUAGUGGGACAGGUCUAGAGAUAGAUUUUUCUUCGGACUCAUUACAAGGUGCUGCAUGGUUGUCGUCAGCUCGUGCCGUGAGGUGUCAGGUUAAGUCCUAUAACGAGCGCAACCCUUGUCGUUAGUUGCCAGCAAGUAAAGUUGGGGACUCUAGUCAGACUGCCGGUGCAAACCGUGAGGAAGGUGGGGAUGACGUCAAAUCAUCACGGCCCUUACGUCCUGGGCCACACACGUGCUACAAUGGUAGGGACAGAGAGCAGCCACUUAGCGAUAAGGAGCGAAUCUAUAAACCCUAUCUCAGUUCGGAUUGGAGUCUGCAA